GAGUUUGAUCCUGGCUCANGAUGAACGCUAGCGGCAGGCCUAACACAUGCAAGUCGAACGGUAACAUUGGUGCUUGCACCAGAUGACGAGUGGCGCACGGGUGCGUAACGCGUAUACNAUCUACCUUUUACAGAGAGAUAGCCCAGAGAAAUUUGGAUUAAUACCUCAUAGUAUUGUUUUAUGGCAUCAUAAGACAAUUAAAGAUUUAUCGGUAAAAGAUGAGUAUGCGUUCUAUUAGUUAGUUGGAGUGGUAACGGCACCCCAAGACAGCGAUAGAUAGGGGCCCUGAGAGGGGGAUCCCCCACACUGGUACUGAGACACGGACCAGACUCCUACGGGAGGCAGCAGUGAGGAAUAUUGGACAAUGGAGGCAACUCUGAUCCAGCCAUGCCGCGUGCAGGAAGACUGCCCUAUGGGUUGUAAACUGCUUUUAUACAGGAAGAAACCGCUCUACGUGUAGAGCUCUGACGGUACUGUAAGAAUAAGGAUCGGCUAACUCCGUGCCAGCAGCCGCGGUAAUACGGAGGAUCCAAGCGUUAUCCGGAAUCAUUGGGUUUAAAGGGUCCGUAGGUGGAUAAUUAAGUCAGGGGUGAAAGUCUGCAGCUCAACUGUAGAAUUGCCUUUGAUACUGGUUAUCUUGAGUUAUUAUGAAGUAGUUAGAAUAUGUAGUGUAGCGGUGAAAUGCAUAGAUAUUACAUAGAAUACCAAUUGCGAAGGCAGAUUACUAAUAAUCAACUGACACUGAUGGACGA
rnacentral:rRNA from 1 species